UACGUAGGGGGCAAGCGUUGUCCGGAAUCAUUGGGCGUAAAGAGCGUGUAGGCGGCCAGGUAGGUCUGCUGUGAAAACUCGAGGCUCAACCUCGAGACGUCGGCGGAAACCAUCUGGCUAGAGUCCGGAAGAGGAGAGUGGAAUUCCGGGUGUAGCGGUGGAAUGCGCAGAUAUCAGGAGGAACACCGGUGGCGAAGGCGGGUCUCUGGGCCGAUACUGACGCUGGAGGAGCGAAAGCGUGGGGAGCGAACAGG
rnacentral:rRNA from 1 species